AGACCGCACCUCAUUUCCUCCCAACUCCAGCUCUCCCACAAGCCUCCCUUCCAGUCGAGCCACCUCUAGUCGCAAUUUGAACAUCGAAGAGCACCACUCAAGCCGGCACACUCAGUUUCCCCCGAUUUCAGCUCUUUAAAACCCCUCUCACACAGUCGACGACACACCCACCAUCUUCCUCGGCGGCCUCCCACCUUCAGUCAUAGUAUAAACUCCCACGACUUUUACACCACUCGCUGCGGUCGGAUGCUCGAGAAAUGGGGUUGAUUUCGGCUUAACUGCGGUCUUCAUUACGCAGUGGUUCGGGCAUUAUUCUGUGGCCUCCAGCUAGCGUUUUCAUUGCAAGAGUUGGAGAUUAGAAGCACGCCAUUAUACGAUAUGAAAGGAAGGAAUGUUGAAAUUUGUCACAGCUGUAGAAGCAAUGGACAUUUUUUCGAUGAAUGCCCCAGAAAACGUUGUUGCCCAAGGUGUGCACAUGGAUUUCAGAAAUAUUUUGAGGUUGAAAAGCAGACGUGUAACAAAGGGCGAUUAUUCAACACACGCAGUAAGAAAUGUGGAUUUUUCGAAUGGGUCGAACAAGGAGAGUCAAGCGGAGAAUCGAGAACCAUUAAUGAAGCGCUUAAUGUUGCGACAAAUGAGGAAGUCGAAGAUUUGCCAAGAAUGUUCGAAACUCUAGCUCGAAUAUCCUACAAACGAGAUGUAGAGAUUAACUUGAACAUUACUUUCCGCAAGGGAAACGGAAGUUCGAAAGGAAACGGGAAAACAAAGGAGGCCACUUGAUUAGUUUUAUUGGGUUGAACUUGUUAAUCGAAUUAUGUUUGUACUAGAACUUAUGAAUGACGUAACAACAUAUGUUAUAUCUUAGUAUGGGUGUAAUGCAAUUUAGUUUUAUGUGUAUUCGUUA